AUUGAACGCUGGCGGCAGGCUUAACACAUGCAAGUCGAGCGAGCGGCGGACGGGUGAGUAAUGUCUGGGAAACUGCCUGAUGGAGGGGGAUAACUACUGGAAACGGUAGCUAAUCCCGCAUACCAUCAGAUGUGCCCAGAUGGGAUUAGCUAGUAGGUGGGGUAAUGGCUCACCUAGGCGACGCUCCCUAGCUGGUCUGAGAGGAUGACCGGCCACACUGGAACUGAGACACGGUCCAGACGCCUACGUGAGGCAGCAGUGGGGAAUAUUGCACAAUGGGAGAAAGCCUGAUGCAGCCAUGCCGCGUGUGUGAAGAAGGCCUUCGGGUUGUAAAGCACUUUCAGCGAUGAGGCGUUACUCGCAGAAGAAGCACCGGCUAACUCCGUGCCAGCAGCCGCGGUAAUUC
rnacentral:rRNA from 1 species